rnacentral:rRNA from 1 species
CCUACGGGAGGCAGCAGUGAGGAAUAUUGGUCAAUGGACGAGAGUCUGAACCAGCCAAGUAGCGUGAAGGAUGACUGCCCUAUGGGUUGUAAACUUCUUUUAUAUGGGAAUAAAAUGUUCCACGUGUGGGAUUUUGUAUGUACCAUAUGAAUAAGGAUCGGCUAACUCCGUGCCAGCAGCCGCGGUAAUACGGAGGAUCCGAGCGUUAUCCGGAUUUAUUGGGUUUAAAGGGAGCGUAGGUGGACUGUUAAGUCAGUUGUGAAAGUUUGGGGCUCAACCGGAAAAUUGCAGUUGAAACUGGCAGUCUUGAGUACAGUAGAGGUGGGCAGAAUUCGUGGUGUAGCGGUGAAAUGCUUAGAGAUCACGAAGAACUCCGAUGGCGAAGGCAGUUCACUGGACGGCGACUGACGCUGAGGUGCGAAAGUGUGGGUAUCAAACAGGAUUAGAUACCCCAGUAGUC